rnacentral:snRNA from 1 species
GUGUUCACUUCGGCAGCACAUAUACUAAAACUGGAAUGAUAACAGAGAAGAUUGCAUGGCCCUACACAAGGAGGACACACAAAUUCAUGAAGGGGUCCCAUAUUAA